rnacentral:rRNA from 1 species
AAGUAAAAGUCGUAACAAGGUUUCCGUAGGUGAACCUGCGGAAGGAUCAUUACCGAAUUGUCAACACGAGUUGUUGCUGGUCCUCAGACGAGGGCAUGUGCACGCUCUGUUUACACAUCCACUCACACCUGUGCACCCUCUGUAGUUCUAUGGUCUGAGGGGCUCUGUCCUCUCGCCGUGGCUCUAUGUCUUUACACACGCACUGUAAUAAAGUUUCAUGGAAUGCAUGACGCGUUUAACGCAAUACAAUACAACUUUCAGCAACGGAUCUCUUGGCUCUCGCAUCGAUGAAGAACGCAGCGAAAUGCGAUAAGUAAUGUGAAUUGCAGAAUUCAGUGAAUCAUCGAAUCUUUGAACGCACCUUGCGCCCUUUGGCUAUUCCAGAGGGCAUGCCUGUUUGAGUAUCAUGAACACCUCAACUCUCACGGUUCGCCGUGAUGAGCUUGGACUUUGGAGGUCUUGCCGGCCUGUGGUUGGCUCCUCUCAAAUGAAUCAGCUUGCCAGUGUUUGGUGGCAUCCCAGGUGUGAUAACUAUCUACGCUUGUGGCUUUCCACCAGGUAACCUUCAGCGAUGGAGGUUCGCUGGGGCUCACAAAUGUCUCUCCCAAGUGAGGACGGCUUCUCGAAUGUUUGAUCUCAAAUCAGGUAGGGCUACCCGCUGAACUUAAGCAUAUCAAUAAGCGGAGGAAAAGAAACUAACAAGGAUUCCCCUAGUAACUGCGAGUGAAGCGGGAAGAGCUCAAAUUUAAAAUC